rnacentral:rRNA from 1 species
AUUGAACGCUGGCGGCAUGCUUUACACAUGCAAGUCGAACGGUAACAGGCCGCAAGGUGCUGACGAGUGGCGAACGGGUGAGUAAUGCAUCGGAACGUGCCCAGUCGUGGGGGAUAACGCAGCGAAAGCUGCGCUAAUACCGCAUACGAUCUAUGGAUGAAAGCGGGGGACCGUAAGGCCUCGGGCGAUUGGAGCGGCCGAUGUCAGAUUAGGUAGUUGGUGGGGUAAAGGCUAACCAAGCCAACGAUCUGUAGCUGGUCUGAGAGGACGACCAGCCACACUGGGACUGAGACACGGCCCAGACUCCUACGGGAGGCAGCAGUGGGGAAUUUUGGACAAUGGGCGCAAGCCUGAUCCAGCAAUGCCGCGUGCAGGAAGAAGGCCUUCGGGUUGUAAACUGCUUUUGUACGGAACGAAACGGUCCUGGUUAAUACCUGGGGCUAAUGACGGUACCGUAAGAAUAAGCACCGGCUAACUACGUGCCAGCAGCCGCCGUAACAC